GUGCCAGCCGCCGCGGUAAUACAGAGGGUGCGAGCGUUAAUCGGAAUUACUGGGCGUAAAGCGCGCGUAGGCGGCUUUUCAAGUCGAUUGUGAAAUCCCCGGGCUUAACCUGGGAACUGCAGUCGAGACUGUCUAGCUAGAGUAUGGGAGAGGGAAGUGGAAUUUCAGGUGUAGCGGUGAAAUGCGUAGAUAUCUGAAGGAACAUCAGUGGCGAAAGCGACUUCCUGGACCAAUACUGACGCUCAUGUGCGAAAGCGUGGGGAGCAAACAGGAUUAGAAACCCCCGUAGUCC
rnacentral:rRNA from 1 species